rnacentral:rRNA from 1 species
UACAGAGGGUGCAAGCGUUAAUCGGAAUUACUGGGCGUAAAGCGUGCGUAGACGGUUAUGUAAGUCAGAUGUGAAAGCCCCGGGCUUAACCUGGGAAUGGCAUUUGAGACUGCAUAGCUAGGGUGCGGAAGAGGGAAGCGGAAUUUCCGGUGUAGCGGUGAAAUGCGUAGAUAUCAGGAGGAACACCUGUGGUGUAGACAGCUUACUGGACCAUUUCUGACGCUGAGACACGAAAGCGUGGGUAGCAAACAGG